UAUUUCCUUCUCCUCCCCUAGCAGCCUCUUGAGAAGAAGCGGAAUCGUCGCCGUCCUCGCCUCCUCCUCCUCCUAAUAUCUCCUUUUCUUCUCGACGGAGGAUGCAAUGAUGAGAAAUCGUCCUCAACGCAGAUCGCCAGUUCGAAUCCGUUUCAAACUCAGCGACAUGAAGCCUUAUCUGGAUGGCGAUGCGCCUGUUGUAAGGCGAGGCAGCCUUCUGAGUGAGUGAGUGGUCACCGCAUUGCUGCUGACAAGGCAGCCUUGCAAGCGGCUGUUGUAUGGUGUGGCAGCCAAGCAUCAAUGCGACCGCUCAUGAAGUGGCUGUUGUUCUGCAAGGAAGUGAUGUGGCUGUCUUACGAGGAAGCCAUUUAGUAAGAUAUAUUUAUAAUAUUUCUAGUCAAUUGUGUUUCAACUUUUCCCUAGAUGGAGGUGCAAGAACAUUUUAUGCUAUUGUAAAUGUUAUUUGUUGUCAUUUGCCAUAAAUUAUAAUAAUACACAGUUUUAUGUUGAUUUUAUGAUUUAUCUUAUUUUAUAUAAUUUGAGGGCAGUUUAUGAAGGACGUAUGGAUGAGUACAUUUUGUUAUGAAAGAUAUAUCCUUUUGUAAUAUCAAGGAUGGAGCUAUUACUACUAACUUGCUUGUCGGCUUUGUCUUUUAAGUUUAGUAGAUUAUUUUUUAUGGCUAUACGUACCUUUUAUAGUUUCUUGUUUGAUUUUCAAUGGCUCUAGAUAGGUCUUCUUGGUAAGUUGCUGCGGCAGACAACAAUAAAUUUUAUAUGUAACAAAGGUAUGACCUUCUGUUGGGUGCGCCAUAGCUAGAGUGAGUUGAUAAGUUGCUGCGGCAGACAACAAUAAAUUUUAUAUGUAACAAAGGUAUGAUCUUCUGUUGGGUGCGCCAUAGCUAGAGUGAGUUGAUGCGGCUGUUCGUGAAGUGGUCGUUGCCCUUCAAGGCAGCAACGUGGUCGUCUCGCGAGGAAGCCAUUUGGCUGCUAUGUACAAUAUAUUUGUAAUAUUUCUAGUCAAUUGUGUUUUUUCCUUUUUCCUAGAUGGAGGUGCAUGAACAUUUUCAUGCUAUGGUAAAUGUUAUUUGUUGUCAUUUGCCAUAAAUUGUAAUAGCAUAUUAAUCCAGGAGGGAUUCAAAAUAUUCA